UACGUAGGGUGCAAGCGUUAAUCGGAAUUACUGGGCGUAAAGCGUGCGCAGGCGGUUUUGUAAGCCAGAUGUGAAAUCCCCGGGCUUAACCUGGGAAUGGCAUUUGGGACUGCAAGGCUUGAGUGCGGCAGAGGAGACUGGAAUUCCUGGUGUAGCAGUGAAAUGCGUAGAUAUCAGGAGGAGCACCGAUGGCGAAGGCAGGUCUCUGGGCUGACACUGACGCUCAUGCACGAAAGCGUGGGGAGCAAACAGG
rnacentral:rRNA from 1 species